rnacentral:rRNA from 1 species
GACGAACGCUGGCGGCGUGCCUAAUACAUGCAAGUCGAGCGGACCGAAGGGAGCUUGCUCCUUUAGGUUAGCGGCGGACGGGUGAGUAACACGUGGGCAACCUACCCUGCAGACUGGGAUAACUUCGGGAAACCGGAGCUAAUACCGGAUAACACCGAAAACCGCAUGGUUUUCGGUUGAAAGGCGGCUUUUAGCUGUCACUGCAGGAUGGGCCCGCGGAGCAUUAGCUAGUUGGCGAGGUAACGGCUCACCAAGGCGACGAUGCGUAGCCGACCUGAGAGGGUGACCGGCCACACUGGGACUGAGACACGGCCCAGACUCCUACGGGAGGCAGCAGUAGGGAAUCUUCCGCAAUGGACGAAAGUCUGACGGAGCAACGCCGCGUGAGCGAAGAAGGUCUUCGGAUCGUAAAGCUCUGUUGUCAGGGAAGAACAAGUACCGUUCGAACAGGGCGGUACCUUGACGGUACCUGACGAGGAAGCCACGGCUAACUACGUGCCAGCAGCCGCCGUAA